CCAAACUUGGUCAUUUAGAGGAAGUAAAAGUCGUAACAAGGUCUCCGUUGGUGAACCAGCGGAGGGAUCAUUACAGAGUUGAAAAACUCCCAAACCCUUUGUGAACCUUACCAGUACGUUGCUUCGGUAGGCGGCCCCAGGGCGGGGCCUCCAGCCUGCAAAGGCGCCUGCCGAAAGAACUAAAAAAAAAACUCGUUUUGUAUUCUGUUAUCUGAGAAAAGACACAAUAAGUCAAAACUUUCAACAACGGAUCUCUUGGUUCUGGCAUCGAUGAAGAACGCAGC
rnacentral:misc_RNA from 1 species